rnacentral:lncRNA from 1 species
ACUAGAUAUAGUAUAGUCUGCGCCCAAAUUCCGAUCCGUCUUAUACCCUGCACAGAAUUGCAUAAUCUACACGGCUCCUGUGCAAGACCCACAUUUUAAAAGUGCACAUGUUUGUGGGAAAUGGAAGACCUACAAUCUGAGCUUCACAUGUUUGUGUUGAAGUUAGAUUUGAAGCGAAGGAAAAUGAAUCAUUGAUACCUUGCAGUUGUCAUCCAAGACAUGCUAUAGUGGAAUACAAAAGCAAAAAAGAUGAGUAGUGUAGAUGCAUGGCCCUGAGGCUAUACAUUAUAGGACAGAGGCCAGGACUUCUUCAAUUAUAAGAGAGCGUGUUGCGCGUACGUAACAUGCAUAUACACCAGGUCAUACAUGCUCUCUCAGGCCCUUAAGCUUAUGAUU